rnacentral:rRNA from 1 species
AAGGAUCAUUAACAAUUGUCCAAUACUAUGGAUAAUAUCCAUAUCCACCUUGUGUGAAUCAUUGAAGUGUUAGUUGGCAGGUUCAAGCCCAGAUUGUCUGGGCGGCAGUUCGUUCACCGAACGCCAGCAAGGGCAUAUAUUGCAUAUGCUCUUGGCCUGCCAAUUUUUAUUUUCUCUACUCGUCUAAAAAUGCAUUUGACUGAAACAUUUUCCAAAUAAUAAAUACAACUUUCAACAACGGAUCUCUUGGCUCUCGCAUCGAUGAAGAACGCAGCGAAAUGCGAUACGUAAUGUGAAUUGCAGAAUUCAGUGAAUCAUCGAAUCUUUGAACGCAUAUUGCGCUCUCUGGUAUUCCGGAGAGCAUGCCUGUUUCAGUAUCAUUUGAUCAUAUCAAAAUCGGAUUUUUUUUCGAUUUUGGAAAUUGGGCCUUUUAUAAUGCUUGAACUUUCGGGAUCCAGCAGGCCUAAAAUUCGCAUUAACAAUGCAGGAAAAAUAUUUUGCAUGAUUUCAUGUCUAAAAGGCGAAAAGCUUAUUAGUUGAUUUCGGUCAUAUUUGCUGAUUAGCUUUGGACGGCAUGCGAAUCUGCAUCACAAACUUGAUCUGAAAUCAGGUAGGACUACCCGCUGAACUUAAGCAUAUCAAUAAGCGGAGGAAAAGAAACUAACAAGGAUUCCCCUAGUAACGGCGAGUGAAGCGGGAACAGCUCAAAUUUAAAAUCUGGCAGGUUACCUGUCCGAGUUGUAGUUUAUAGAAGGCGUUUUCGCUAGGUCCGCAGGUACAAGUCCCUUGGAAUGGGGCAUCACAGAGGGUGAGAAUCCCGUGAACGAUCUGGAGUGACCUGGUAUGUGAUACACCUUCGAAGAGUCGGGUUGUUUGGGAUUGCAGCCCUAACUGGGUGGUAAAUUUCAUCUAAAGCUAAAUAUUGGCGAGAGACCGAUAGCGAACAAGUACCGUGAGGGAAAGAUGAAAAGAACUUUGAAAAGAGAGUGAAACAGUACGUGAAAUUGUUGAAAGGGAAGCGUUUGGAAUCAGCAUUGCAAGCAGGAAAUCAGCCAUGCCUUGUGCUUGGUGUACUUUCUUGUUGGCAGGUCAGCGUCGGUUUUGUCUGAUGGACAAAUGGCUGGGGAAGGUAGCUACUUGUAGUGUUAUAGCCCUAGCUUUUACAUUUGAGGAGACCGAGGACUGCAGCCAAGUUUGGGGGAGUGUGUCGCUGCGAAGAUGGUGUUUGUGGACAGCUUGCUGAGCACAAUUCAACAUUCGUCGUCAAUCGGCAUGCUUCUCUCCUGUUGGCUUAGGUCGCUGACGUAAUGAUUUCAAAUGACC